UGGGGAAUAUUGGGCAAUGGGCGAAAGCCUGACCCAGCAACGCCGCGUGAAGGAUGAAGUAUUUCGGUAUGUAAACUUCGAAAGAAUAGGAAGAAUAAAUGACGGUACUAUUUAUAAGGUCCGGCUAACUACGUGCCAGCAGCCGCGGUAAUACGUAGGGACCAAGCGUUGUUCGGAUUUACUGGGCGUAAAGGGCGCGUAGGCGGCAAUUCAAGUCAUCUGUGAAAUCUCCGGGCUUAACUCGGAACGGUCAGAUGAUACUGCUUUGCUAGAGUGCAGAAGGGGCAAUCGGAAUUCUUGGUGUAGCGGUGAAAUGCGUAGAUAUCAAGAGGAACACCUGAGGUGAAGACGGGUUGCUGGGCUGACACUGACGCUGAGGCGCGAAAGCCAGGGGAGCAAACGGGAUUAGAUACCCCGGUAGUCCCUGAGCGGGCUGGCAAGGCGCAU
rnacentral:rRNA from 1 species